rnacentral:rRNA from 1 species
GACGUAGGGCGCGAGCGUUGUCCGGAUUUAUUGGGCGUAAAGAGCUCGUAGGCGGCUUGUCGCGUCGAAUGUGAAAACUCGGGGCUCAACUCCGAGCUUGCAUUCGAUACGGGCAGGCUAGAGUUCGGUGGGGGAGACCGGAAUUCCUGGUGUAGCGGUGAAAUGCGCAGAUAUCAGGAGGAACACCGGUGGCGAAGGCGGGUCUCUGGAACGAUACUGACGCUGAGGAGCGAAAGCGUGGGGAGCGAACAGG